rnacentral:tRNA from 2 species
AGACCGGGGCUAUCAACCACUCAGCCAUCUCUCC